rnacentral:rRNA from 1 species
UGAGGAAUCUUGCGCAAUGGGGGAAACCCUGACGCAGCAACGCCGCGUGAGUGAGGAAGGUCUUCGGAUCGUAAAGCUCUGUCAGUUGGAAAGAAAUGUCUGAGAGUCAAUCCCUUUCAGGCUUGACGGUACCAACAGAGGAAGCACCGGCUAACUCCGUGCCAGCAGCCGCGGUAAUACGGGGGGUGCAAGCGUUGUUCGGCAUUAUUGGGCGUAAAGAGCGUGUAGGCGGCCGGAUAUGUCAGAUGUGAAGGCCCCGGGCUUAACCCGGGAAGUGCAUUUGAAACUGUCCGGCUCGAGUAGGGGAGAGGGAAGUGGAAUUCCUGAUGUAGAGGUGAAAUUCGUAGAUAUCAGGAGGAACACCGGUGGCGAAGGCGACUUCCUGGCCCUAUACUGACGCUGAGACGCGAGAGCGUGGGUAGCAAACAG